UACGUAGGGGGCGAGCGUUGUCCGGAUUCAUUGGGCGUAAAGAGCUCGUAGGCGGUUUGAUAAGUCGGGUGUGAAAUCUCCAGGCUCAACCUGGAGAGGUCACUCGAGACUGUUAUGACUAGAGUCCGGUAGGGGACCACGGAAUUCCUGGUGUAGCGGUGAAAUGCGCAGAUAUCAGGAGGAACACCAGUGGCGAAGGCGGUGGUCUGGGCCGGAACUGACGCUGAGGAGCGAAAGCGUGGGUAGCAAACAGGA
rnacentral:rRNA from 1 species